rnacentral:rRNA from 1 species
UGAGGAAUAUUGGUCAAUGGACGAGAGUCUGAACCAGCCAAGUAGCGUGAAGGAUGACUGCCCUAUGGGUUGUAAACUUCUUUUAUACGGGAAUAAAGUUAGCCACGUGUGGCUUUUUGUAUGUACCGUAUGAAUAAGGAUCGGCUAACUCCGUG